UUACGGCCACAUCACGUUGAAAUACCGGUUCCCGUGCGAUCAGCGUAGCUAAGUAACGCCAAGCCUGGCCAGUACCUAGAUGAAUGACCGCUUGGAAAUAGCAGAUACUGUA